GACGAACGCUGGCGGCGUGCUUAACACAUGCAAGUCGAACGGAAAGGCCCUGCUUUUGUGGGGUGCUCGAGUGGCGAACGGGUGAGUAACACGUGAGUAACCUGCCCUUGACUUUGGGAUAACUUCAGGAAACUGGGGCUAAUACCGGAUAGGAGCUCCUGCUGCAUGGUGGGGGUUGGAACGUUUCGGCGGUCGGGGAUGGACUCGCGGCUUAUCAGCUUGUUGGUGGGGUAGUGGCUUACCAAGGCUGUGACGGGUAGCCGGCCUGAGAGGGUGACCGGCCACAUUGGGCCUGCGAUACGGCCCAGACUCCUACGGGAGGCAGCAGUGGGGAAUAUUGCACAAUGGGCCGAAGCCUGAUGCAGCAACGCCGCGUUCGGGAUGACGGCCUUCGGGUUGUAAACCGCUUUCGCCUGUGACGAAGCGUGAGUGACGGUAAUGGGUAAAGAAGCACCGGCUAACUACGUG
rnacentral:rRNA from 1 species